rnacentral:rRNA from 1 species
CCAAAAACAUCUCUCUUUGUUAAUAAUAAAUAAGGAGUUGGGCCUGCUCGGUGAAUAUUUUUUAACAGCUGCGGUAUUUUAACUGUACUAAGGUAGCAUAAUAAUUUGCCUUAUAAUUUGAGGCUAGAAUGAAUGGUUUGACGAAGGUUAAUCUGUCUCCGUUUUAUUUUUUAGAAAUUAAUUUUCAUAGUGAAAAAGCUUGAAUUUUUUAAAGGGACGAGAAGACCCUAUUGAGCUUAUAAUUUUAUUACUAUUAUGUUUGUUAAAUUCAUCAUUGUAGUAUAUAAAUUUUAAUUGGGGUGAUUAAGGAAUAAGUUUUUUAUAAUAUAACUUCCUUAGAUUAAUAUAUUGUUAGAUUAAGUAACCGAUGUGAUUAACAUAAUGUAUGUUAUGUAUUGCUUAUAAUAUAGUUACCAUAGGGAUAACGAGCGUAAUUUACUUAGAGAGUUCUUAUUGGAAUAAGUAAGAUUGCGAACCUCGAUGUUGGGAUUAAAAGUAAACCUUAAAGGUGCAGGAA